AAAAAGUUGCGUUAGGGAUAGCAGUGAAAAUCCUUUUUGAAGGCCUCGUUAAAUACCAUUAGGUGCGGUGAGAAACUUAAAAAGAUUGUAACGGAUAGCCCGCUCGAAC
rnacentral:sRNA from 1 species